CCCAACGCCCCUCUCUUUAUUCCAGCUGCUUUCCGCCAAGUGGAGGAUUUCUCCCCAGAGUGGUGGCAAUUGAUUACCACUUCAACAUGGUUCCGUGAUUACUGGCUCAGCCAGCACCAGGAGGGGGAUAUUUUUAAUUGUAAUAAUGCUGAUGAUGAAUUUGAUGCCAAUGACAUUGCUGACCUGCUGCCAGAUGCAUUUGACUUUGGCACGGAGGAAGACUUCUCACACAUGGAAGCCCAGUUUGAGGAGUUCAUUCAAUCUUCA
rnacentral:lncRNA from 1 species